GAAAUGAUGCGGCCGAUGCCACCACCAGAACCUCGAUGCAUAGUGCAAUGGCGUCAUAGGCAAGAUCUAGUAGCACGUAUGAUUGCACCGGAUUGUUCGCGUGGCCCCGUCUCGCAAGGGGGGUUGUCAGAGGGCGAGGGUGGCGAAAGGGGAAAGGGAUUGAAGGUGGGCGUUCAGUCACCCGAUAUUUCCGGCUCGCUAAUGAGUGCUCGGAGCUCGCUGCCUGCCCCAUGCCUCCUCCGCCUCUGCCUGCCUGCGUCUGCGUGUGGCGAAUCAGGAACAGUAACUGCGGUAGAUAGGUUCAUGCGCUGUGUCCUUUUCCUCUCAGAGGGACGAGUCAUGAGUGCACGGGUGAUUUGGCGCUACUUGUGUUGUGGGUAACGUCGUGCGGCGCGGGUGUAUGAUUCAGCUCCCGCUGUCGCCGCCAUGAAAGGUUCAUAUCCUCGUCCAUUUACAUUUGUUUGGAACUCAAUGGUACAUACAGUACCUUAGUGACGAUCUGGUAAAACACAGUUCGUCAAAACUUACUAGAGGGAAUAGAAUGGCAUACAUUCGUCAACCCGUUACAAUCCUGGCCCAGCUGGGUACAUCGUCGCACAAUGGAGCCCCCAAAUAUUUCUCUCGAGUAGCAGCCUCCCAGGCCACCAAUUUUUUUUUAAAGGAGUUGGCCACCAAAAACUGGAACAGCAAAAAACGGGCAUUGCCCAUGAGACAACCAUCAACAAGUCACUAAUAAAAGCCAAAAGGUAAAGAAGGGCCUGGCAGAUACUGGCAUUCCAUUCUGGUGAGGGGAGUACUUGUAAUUGACAGUCGAAGCGAUGGCGACAUAAAACAUGAUUAUUAUUUUUUCACAUCAAGUUGAGACUUACACCAAAUAAAAUGCCAGGUUUUUGUUUGCAGGCUCAAUCAGCUGGGACUCGCCAUCUUCUCACCGCCCUCUCGAGUACCUCAGCACGUUCAUGCACGCGCGCUGCUUCCUGCUCCACCCAGGACCUGAUACAGAAAAGGAACUGGCGUCAUAUAUGGAUAUCCAGGAUGGUGAGUCCGCACAAAAGAGCUAACUUGCAUACAAUUCAGACAGAUGAUCUUGACCACUCCUUUGACAUCAAUGGAAUAAUAGAUUCUACAUGAUUUUCAUUCAAUAAAGUAUAAGUUAUUUUCCGCUUAUUAAAUUUUCGCAGAUGGACAGGUUUAACAAUAUGCAGAGUUCACACUAGGAUAAAGCACUUUUUCCUGAACUAGAGCAUGCGCACGUAAAUUUUCAAUGCCCACUCUGAUAUAAGAUGAUAAACUAAUGUUUCCUUGGUACCAUAUAAAUAUAUAACCACGGUGCAGGGUCUGCAAGUGCUAUGUAUUAGAACCAUAUACUCAUAACCAAGAGUGAAGGUUGUAUAAUGACAUACCUUAGCAUAGUAAGAGCUUCCUUCUCAGCUUCAAGAUAUGAUUUAGCUUCAGUGACAGCUUGGUGCUUGCUGCUCAUAUCAGAGGACAACUUUUCCAGAUUUUCUUCAUCAGCCAUGACCUCUAGACUCUGGGUGGCUAGUCUAUCAUACAUGCCAUCAACUUCUGACCUUAAACAUACGAGUUCCUGAUUCUGACGCUCUAAAGCUGAUUUUUCUUUUAGCAAGUCUGCAAUUUCCUUUUCUUGAUCCGUCCUCUCAUUUGCAAGCUCGUGCAAAACAUCUUGAAGAUGCUUCUCAACUUCAAACCCAUGGUCUUGCUCCUUUUUCAUCUUGUCUUCCCAAUAAUGUUUUAUAUCCCCUCUAUUAAUUAACUCUUCCAUCAUUUCACCCAUAACAGAAAGCCGGGACUGGUUUUCUGCUUCAAGUCUAUUUAGUUCAUCGCGUACCACUUCUUCCAUUCUACCACUGGUCAGUGCAGCAGCCGCUUGUGCUUUUGUUACAGGCUUAUGAUGUUGAAGGCGCCUGGUGUUUCCUAUCAAAUACAGGCAUAGCACGCAUAAAUUAAUGAUCUUAGCUGAUCCGCUAAGAUUUAAGUACUGAUGUUGGCAACAAUAUGAAUCGCAAAAUGACACUAGAGGGCAAUAUCUAGUACGAGCAACAGUUCUUGUACUGGUGCGUUCAUACAGAAAAUAGUCAGCUAAGGUCAUGCUUGUCCAUAAGUCCACAACUUUUUGUAACAGUUGUUAAACCAAAACAUAAAGAUAUCAUCAUAGAAUCAAGUACCAGGAGAAAUAUGCAGUUGAAGUAAUCAACAGACUGUAAUGGCCUAAUUUGGCACACUUAAUGUCUUCCCCAGAACAUGAAAACCACUUAACAUUCCCAAAAAGUUACAGUUAGAUCCCUCUAAUAUAGAUUCAUACAUUGAGCAGGCAAAUGAGACAGAGAAGCUUUGAGUGGGGAAAGCAUAUAUAGGGCAAAGUUGCCCAAAUUUAUAAGUUCAACUAGCCCUAGAUUCUUUACUUGAUAACACGAGCUCCAUCUAUAUUGUUUACAUAGAAAUAACCCUGUGCAAUCCUGGUUCAGGACAAAGAGAACAGAGAAAACAGACCAUGCUGAGCAAAGAAAACUUUCAUUGCCACUGGAAAUAAUUGAUAGUAGAAUCCACAACCAAUUAUUAUUUUAGAGGAACUUUGCCGUAACAAACUUGCUCUUUUCUUUUUUUUUUUUUGAGAAAACGCAAAAGACUUUUGCGGUUCAUUGUAUUGAAAAGAAGGGGUUUAGUACAAUCCUCCUAGGAGGCAUAUUUACAAGGUGUUAUAGGGAAUUCAUCCAAUACAGAGAAGAAAACAAACUAAAGGCUGAAAAAGUCACACUGCUAUAUGACUUAUUGUGUGGAGGGUAAACAUGGGUGGUGGUUAGCCGAGAACGUCCGAUUAGUCUAAAGGCCUGCCAUGGUGGAGUGCAGGUGCAAGAUAGCCAGGGUUCUCAGAGGUAAACCUCCCCUUUAAGGCCCCCUUUGUUUGGGCUACGGAUUCCUGAGAAUCACUGUGGGUCUGGACUCCUGAGAAACAGCUGUGGCUUUGGAUUCCCAAGAAUCAAAAUCAGCUUGUUUGUUUAACCUACUAUGGGACAGCUGUAGGAACUGUAGGGGUUAUGAAAUGCCAGUAAUGCCCCUGAAUGUUGAGUAUGACUUCUAUAUGCUUAUUCAGUGCAAAUUAGUUGUGUUUUCGAGUUUAGAGAGAAAUGACAUGUACAGUUAAUUCAGUGCAAAUUCACAGAUCACAGUUGUUAGGAUUCACCCAAGAAUCAAUUACAUCAAAAUCAUGAACACACGUGCACACAAAACUUAUAGCCAAGGGCUCUCGUCGUGCCCUUCCACAGAACAGUCUAGACAGUAGAGUGGUAGACAUACACGGACCGGACAUCCUAGAACUAGUCGGACACUACCUUGAAACGUACCUGAACUAGUACUCAAACUAACGCAACACGCUACGCACUAGUUUAGUGCUAACUCACGGCUCACAUGGGCAUGCAUGUGUGCUAGACUCGGCUAAACGAGAUUACUUCUAACAACAGCAAGGUUUAACCUGAACUUCUCUGAACCUUAGUACAAAUGAGUAUCCAAUCAUUCUAUCAAGUGAUCCAUAUUAUCUCACAAGUUUCAGGCCACCUGAUCUGAAACAAAGGGAAUCCUCUAGCAAUCUAAUCCAUGUGGGGAGCGAACUGUGCUCCCACUAAGGUAUCGAUCGAGAAGUCCCUAUGCAUCAUACAUAGCCCCGAAGAUUCACUACAUCACGCAUGCAUGGACAUCGAGGUAGCAGCACCUGCUCCUGUGUGCGGCCUCCUCCCGCCGGCCUUGGCGCCCUCGCACAUAGCCCCUACGCCCGCUCUCCUCUCGCAGCCUUGCAGGCUACGUCGCCUGCGGACACAGCCACUCAGGCACGAUGGCGGCGUCUCCCGGUGCGCGCCACAGCACCGCUAUGCCGGGCGUCGACCGGGCCUACGGGGACGCUGCCACAAGGAGACGGCCGACGAGGCCCUAUGGGAGCCCCUACGCUCGCUCUCCUCUCGCAGCCUUGCAGGCUACACCGCCUGCGGACACAGACACUCAGGCACGACGGCGGCGUCUCCCAGUGCGCGCCACAGCACCGCUACGCCUGGCGUCAACCGGGCCUACGAGGACACUGCCACAAGGAGCCGGCCGACGAGGCCCUAUGGGCCGCCGCCAUCCUCCCCCUCCCUCGGAGGCGGCGGUUGGGGGAAUAUCUCAAGAGAGAUGAGAGAGGACUGGUUGGAACGUCGACGGUUCGCUCGGGUGAGGACUACAGUGGCAAUUUCAUUGUAAUUUUGAUUGAAGAAAGGGGUAAGCACCCAAAACGAACCGUUUUCUUUUGCGGGGAGCUUCAAAAUCCCUAGAAUCAUCAAAACCACUGCUUCCAGCUUCGCUUCGCUGGUAUUUCCCCUUUUUACAAACUAUUCUGGGAAGCUAUGUAGGAAUCUGAGGUGUUUGUUUGAGCUUCAGAUUUUGGAAGGCCUAGAAUCUGGGAAUCAGUAACUGCAGCCCAAACAAAAGCCACCUGAAUAGUUUAUACAUUGACCGUCGAUUUGUCUUCCCCGUACAGCCUCUCUCUCUCUCUCUCUUUACUAUAAAGAGUCAAUCCUCUAGUACAACUGAAAUAGAACCCCACCGUAGUAUGAAGUCAAGAGACUUCCAAUUUGGUGUGUCCCCCUGACCUGGAACGAACAGACCCUGCAACCAAUUAGUGCCAACACUAAUCUGGUGCUAACUGAUUGAUUCUGAAACCAAGUUGAUGGAACCAAUGCUAAUAUGAACUCAAAAGACUUCCAAUCAGGUGUCUCUCCAGACUUCCAAACAAACUGAACCUGAAACAAAUUAGGUGUCAAUCAACUGACUUCGUGACCAUGUCGAUGGAUGUAAAGGCCCUGUGCUGCUGCACGCAGAGACAGAUAUCCUUGUGGGCACACCUGCUGUAGUACUUCUACUACAUGAUACAUACAACUUGAGAAUAAAAAUAACAGCAUAACUUUAUGCAUGAGCUCAAUAGUAGAAAAAAUAAGCCAAAUAACUGAAAGAGAGGCAGAGACCGCAGAGAUGCAUGACACUGAAACAAAGCACAUGGAAAACACAAGUUAAAACACACCAUUAGCAUAUGGCAAAGUAAAACAGAGCUCCCAGUCACUAAAAUAAGAAAUCAUCAAAAUUACAAAGGAAACUUUAGUCUUCAUAAUGUUAAUACUAAUCUUGAUGCGUGCGCGGUGCGCCGGUGGCCGGACUCGCGGAGCUGGCUGUUCGUGGCUGUGUGGUUCAUGAAGACUCGGCCAGGUCGUUCGAGUCGUACGGCCUGAAGCAAUUGCGUCGGCCGAGCCAUUGGGCAGCCGUGGACUGCAGACGUGCGUGGACGUGCAUGUUGUUAGUUGGUUAACUAGCUACAUGGACGGCCGGGUCGUGUGGACAUUGUGGUGAAGCUGAACAUGAGCGUGAGGAUAGCUAGGGAAUGGUUAGUGGCUGGCGUGUGGUCAUGCGUGCGUGUGUGUGCACCGGGUAUAAAACCACCCCUCAUGUAUUGCUAGUUGUUGCGACGGUGUGAGGGAGACUGAGGAGAGAUGUAGUCUCCAGGUGUGUGCACGCGUUCACCAUGAUGAGGAAGAUGUAGUCUCUGUCGGGACUGUGGUGUGCCCGGUCGACAGGAGAGUUCUUUUGGGUAGUACUACGUGUGUGUGUGUGUACCUCCAUGUAUGUGUUCGAGUCCUUGUGAGAAAUAAAGCCAAGAUACAGGCGUUCGUGCACCGCGGCGUUCGUUGCCGGGAAAAUCGUGGUGUCUCCUUCGUCUACCUCCGCCCGGCGUUUCUGUCGCCGGGAGGCCGCUAGGCGUGUGUCGCCGAGGAGGGUUUGUGUGUCCCAACAGAUAAUCCUGUUAGUAAUGCAAUUUAUAGAAAAUCCUAGCCUUGCAACCAAUUGACGGCAUAUAUAAAUAAAUUAUUAGCAGAUCAUACCAAAAACUUUGCUGACGAUGUUGUGGUCACCAUCAAACAAGUCCGUAAGUACGGACGCUGUUACAUCUGGCCAAGCGCUCAAAUCCAAAGUAUGAACAUUUUUACUCAGCAUCUGGACUGUAACCAGAGUCAGGAUUCACAGAAGAAUGAAACAAGAGAAUAGAAACACUGCAGUAGAACACAUAAAAAUCAGAAGAUAUAUGUACCUUUUGGUCUAAUUCUGAUGCAAAUGGAUACUCCACUAGUAGUUUCCAGUUAACAAGAUCAAAACGUGACAGAUAACUACAGCAACAAAGAAUGCUUUUUAUUAAAACAUCUUAGUUAUCACCAUUAAGGGGAAACUAUAAAUUCCAUAUGUUAGUACCUUUCAGGUAGGAAGUUGGAAUUUCUGUUGGCACUUUGAUAGCCAUUUGUCGAUGUUCCAAAGAAGCUUGAUAGCUUGCUAGGCACAAUGCCAGAUUCUCCUAAAGCUUUUCACCAUCAAAACAAUUAUUAGAUUACCAGCAUCUGAAAAUCCAACGAAAAAUAUUUUGUUUCACAACAUAGGCUCAGAAAUCAAAAGAGCGUCACUUGACAUUGCAUGCCCAAAGUAGUGUGGAAGGAAAGACCAUCUAUUUGUUCGUUACCAGGUUCAACACAAAAUCAUAAAUAAGCACUACGAAGGUGGGGUGUGUGCAUUGCCAAGACUUGCUGUGGUCAGCAUCGGUUUGGCUAGGUGCAUAUGAAGCCUAUCUUUGAGAUGUAAGGAAUUGCUACACAAAGCUUUAGGCCAUUCAAUAUACAUAGAGACUUACACUGAAUAUACAAGAAAUCCGGGUCAUCAAAAUUUACAUCAUCAAACGCACUUUCGACUGAACCAGAAGUUAUUAGAUUCGGUAUGAUCCUGUGCAUCCUUUUCCUGCAAGACAGUGAUAAAUAAGGCGAUGCUAAAAUGCCAUGCAAAGCUCAGAUGUUUUUUAAAUACUGCAUUGCUUCAUUACCUCUCUAAUUUAGAGCAUAAUUUAACAAACCAUCUUGCAAAUUCCCUCCUGGUACAAAAGUCACCAGAGCUAGCAUCAUUCUCAAUUAUCUGAGGCACAGAAAAGUGAUAAACAUCGUUAGAACUAAUGUUGCUUUAAAAUAACUGCAUUUUUCUUACAGAAGACAGUUAAGCUGAAAGGGAUUGACAAGUGACUCAUAAAUACACAGCACGUUGUGUAAACUACAUAAACACUGGAAGUUCAAACAUAGUAGGAGCGUAAUUUAAGAUCGACAUGAUAUUUAAUAAGUAUUUUUUUUCAGGAAUGAUAUUUAGAUAAGUAUAUGAACUAGGUGAUUAAGAUAUUGUUUUUCUUUGUCUAAUUAAUUGUCAGGUGAUACUGCACAACAACACACAAAAUUAAUAUGCAAAGAAGAUGCAGAAUCCAAGUGAGAAAUAACAACAAGGAUUUAUUUUUCAUAUCAGGUGCCAUACUGAAACCUAAACUAAUAUGUAAAGUUGUAAAUAUGUAACACACCUGUAGCUUCUUCAAUAUGGACAAAGCUUCCUCAUGCAUGGGAUCUACAGGAACUGUGAAAGAAAUACGGACACCACCAGCUGGUAUAUGAUUUUGGCUUGAAUCAUUAGGUGAUGUGUCAUUCCUCUCAUCAACAUCUACCCUAGAAACAUCAAUUGCAUCAUCUUCAGGAAUUUCUGUCGAGUCGGGCACUGAAAGCUUCUCUUGAACAUAAUGCAAUGGGGCACCGAUAAGUUGCUGUAAACCUGAAAAGCGCCAUCGAUUUUUUUAGUCUAGUUCUUCCAUUACCCUGAAACGAGCUAACUCCAUCACGGGCACGGCGAGGGGGGCAUCGCUGCCAUCGUAAACACGUCAGGCGUAAAGCUAAUCUAUAGCAGGCUAGCAGAGAUUAAUGUUGUACAAGAGUAGACAGUUCCCAACAACCAAACAAUUCACAAGCACACCUUCCCAUUUUGAAGUGCAAGAAGCUGGUGACAAUAGUACAAGUACUUGGGUAACAAAGAUUCAGACAAAUUCUACAAUGCUCUACUGUAUUUCCACUAUCCUCUUACAAUUUCCAGGGACCAGUAUUUACAUUGUUGGGGCUAAAAUGGGGACGAACUUACACUUCCUCGACGAUGGAGAGCGCCACGCGAUACCAGCCAAAGCGAUCGCUGCCGAAGCACCCAAUCCGACCACGAGAGAUUUCCCGAACCCUGCAAAUGCAAUCCCCACGUGUCACAGCGGAACAACAAAAUAUCCUCUCAAAGGUACAGUAUCUCCGCGUCCUGUGCACGUCGAGCAGCGUACUCAGUCAGAGAUCUACCUGCCCUCCCCUUCUCCGCCGGUUGCUCGGGGAGCCACCAGCCGCCAAGCCCGUCGUCCGAGCUGCCGCCGCCGGCUGGGACCCAGCUAGCAGACGCCUUAGCGGCCGCGCGGCGGCGGAGCUGCGGAAGGAGAGGGGCGUGGUGCCGCGGUGGCGGCGGGGGCGGGGUGAGGCGGAGCGUGUAGGUGGUGGCGGUGGCCAUGCCGCGGCGCGACCGAGGGCUAGGGUUUUUAUGCCGCCGGCCUCAUCGUACGGCGUCCAUUUUGGGUCUAGUGCAAAAGUCCAACUCAACCGGCCGAGGCCAAAUCCCCUGUUUUGACCCUUUUACGCCUCCUUUGAUUCACAGGAUUUGCAUAGGAAUUUUACAGGAUUGGCAUCGAUUUUUUCCUCUACAUGUUGUUUGAUUCGCAGGAUUGCAUUCCUCAGAACCAAUCCUAUAGGUACUUCUUAGGGCCUCUUAGAUUCGUAGGAUUCUCAAAAUGCAGAAAUAGAAAAAAGUAGAAAUAGAGUGGCACGUCCUUUUCUACACUACAGGAUUUGGAAGUGUGUUUGAUAGCAUGGAAAAACAAAGGAAUUCUAUAAAAAGGUUUGAGUGGAUGAAAAUUUUCCUCCAAAUGUAGUACAAACGAAUCCUAUGAAAAAAAUUCAAAGGAUUUCAAUCCUACGAAUCAAACGACCAUCGUAGGAAAAAAUCUUAAGGAUCCAAAUCCUUCAAAAUCCAAUGAAAUUCCUUUGUAUCAAAGGAGCCCUUAGUUCAUUUUCACAGGAAAACAAGCAUGAGGUUGGACUUCAUAGAAAAAUUCCUUUGUUUUGCUUACCCGACGUAGGAUUUCAGUGGGCAGUGCAUCCUAUUCCUGAAUGUUUCCUAUUCCUAUGCUUCCCGAACCGUGUGAAUCAAAGGAGCCCUUAGCAUACUUUAGCCCAAUUUGACCGUUUGUAGAAAAAAAAAUCGAAUCUAACUCUUUUUCUAUCAUCACCUGUUGUGGCACUACGCAUACACACCCUACAGCCAUUUUUUAUGAUGGUAGGGUUUGGGUCAGCGCAGAUAGCGUCGCCUGACCUUGCUGACGUGGAUAAGUGCCUACCGUAGGAUGUGGUUUUCUACCGCCACAACAGGUGGCGGUAGGAUGUUGAGACAUUUAAUUCUUUUGUGACGGAAUUAAUUGUCUGAACACCCUAUCGUCAUCCGUUGUGGCGAUAGGCAUACACAUCCUACCAUCACUCUCUAUGACGAUAGCUAAUUAUCCAUGUCAGCGGGUCAAAUGGCAUCGUCUGCGUUGACCCGAACCCUAUCACCAUAGGGAGUGACGGUAGGGUGUGUAUGUCCACCGCCACAACGAUGGCGAUAGAAAAAGGAUCGUCUCCGAAAAAAUUACAAAUGGGGUCAGAUCGGGCUAAACUAUUCUAGAAGGAUCAAACAAUGAAAUUGUCCACGAGCCGACGCACUAACGCACUAUCCGCUUUUCGUUGUUUGGAUAAGAGUGAGAUGCAAAUCAACCUUUGUCUGGAUGAUUAGAAGGAUUGUGAUAUCCUAAUUCAUCAGGGUUCAAGUCUUGAUGUUUUGCAUUAUUCUAAAUUUAUUUUAGGAUUUUCGGCGAUGCGCAUUCAGUGGGAGGAGACGUUUCCGUCGACGACGAGGUGUCUAUGGUGACUUCGUGAGUUCAAAAUGAUAUGUCGGCUCACCCUCUUGAAGGUGCUUAUAAGAGUAGGUUGUGCAUGUGUACAUUCAUAAGGAUGAGUGUAUGUGCGUGUAUAUGAACAUUUUGUUUGUAAUGUGUUAAAAAAGGACGAGUGUGGCCGGUUUUGACCGCACAUACAUUGAAAAAAC
rnacentral:lncRNA from 1 species